GGAUAUUAGUUAAAUUUAUAACAUUAAAAUUGCUUUUUAAAAUUAAUAAUUUUUAUAUCU
rnacentral:tRNA from 1 species